UACGUAGGGUGCAGGCGUUAAUCGGAAUACUGGGCGUAAAGCGUGCGCAGGCGGUCUGCUAAGAGAGAUGUGAAAUCCCCGGGCUUAACCUGGGAACUGCGUUUCUAACUGGCAGGCUUGAGUGUGGCAGAGGGGGGUGGAAUUCCGACGUGUAGCAGUGAAAUGGCCGUAGAGAGUGUGGAGGAACACCGAUGGCGAAGGCAGCCCCCUGGGCUAACACUGACGCUCAGUGCACGAAAGCGUGGGGAGCAAACAGG
rnacentral:rRNA from 1 species